AGGCUGCAGGAGGAGAGAUGGAGAGAGACCCUGCUCAAUGCCAGAGUCCUCAGGCUGUCAGUGAAAGGAGUCCAGGGCACAGUCCUGCCCCUGGCCUGGGUGCAGUGGGACCUUCUCUCCUGGGAAUUCCAAGUGGCUCCCAUGGCCCCCAUCGCUCAAGUGGACCUCAUAUGAGGGGCUAAUGGCCCUCGAGCAGCAAAAGUGCUGGCCACUCUUUCCUAGCCACACCACAGAAUGGAGAAUGGAGAGGAACACCCCCCCAGGAGCCCCUUUUCCCUGUGGCCAGCAGCCUCCGCAGCCAAGGCUCCCAGUCACACGACACCCAGAGUCACCUCCUAGGGCAAAGAGCAGGCUGAGACUGCGGACUCGGCUUCGGGACUUUGAAUCCUCAAAACUCUGGAUCACUGGAAACCAAGGGAGGGUCCAGAGUGACGGAGAGGGACGAGUGGGAGGCACAGGAGAGGACGCGUCCCAACAGGAGCAUCGGAGGUGAAAACAGGACUCACUGCUCCCACAUCUGGCCAGACAGGCAGAGCUGAAGGAGAGAGUGAGCACGGAAGUGUGACCCCAGCAGAGGAGCGGUCAAAGGCAGCAGAGGACGUAGGACAUUUGCCGAGAACGGAGCUGGGGAGACGGACGGGCUUUGCCAGCAUUGCCAACAGCAGCUCUGGGUGACGGACUGAGGUCCAGGAGACGCGCCAGCCCCCAGUCCUGGGCCUCGCUGCUCUCAAGGGUGCAGCCAGACACGCGGGAGACCCUCAUGGGGGCAGUAGCCUCUCCCGUGAGACAUAAGUUGUCCCUGCCGGUCCUUGCUCACAGCUCAGCCUUCAACAGCCAAGACCCCUGCUCGGAAGCUCGAGGAAGCGCUCACGGUGUGGAGGGGAGUCUGGCUUGAAGGCGCCCGUGUGCUCAUCCCGGGAGAGGUGGGAGUCGACUCUCGACUUUGCCAGGACGGCAAGCCUGGCAGUGACCACCACAACCCCAUGUGGCGUGCCCUCCAGCCAGCAGAGACCGCAGGCCAGGCGGGAAGGGAGUGUCGGAGGAGGAGGGUCCAAAACCCCAGGGCGCCAGAGCACCAGGUGUGCUGGGAUGAAGCUCGCAGCCCCGUGGCGGCUCACGACCACCUGUGGGGCGGCUUCCCUGGUGGCCACUGGCCACUCCUGACUCGCUCAGCCCCCGCUGCAGAGGGCCUCAGGACAGCGAGCAGGGAGCAGGGCAGGAGGUGCUGUGCCUCCCAGAAGGAGAAGCAGGCAGAGCCAGCCUGCAGAGUGGCUGCAGUGACCCCGGUGGGCCCGGCGCCCACUGGGUUCAGUUUUCCUACUUGUGAAGUGAAGUUUGUGCCACCUGAACACUGACGGCAUUCCAUGAGGCUUGGCGCCAGGCUGCGAUGAGGAAGUGGGGCCCAGACUGGGUGGACAACUUGCCCAGGACGGCACAGCUGCAGACCCAGGCGGAGCGAGGGACAGACUGGUUUCAAGCACGAAGCCUCCUCUCCCCCGCCGUCUCGUGACGGCCCACGACUCUGAGCUUGCUCAGACGGCUCCACCGAGGCCACUCUAGAGACUUCUCCGGAAAGUACCACGUCAUGUCGAAGCUCAGUCACCUGGUCACCCCCCUCAGGCCCUGGGAGUGGGGACUGUCCAAGGCCAGAGAACAGGAGGGCCUCCUGGUCACCCCUGGGGCUGUAGUGAGGCUCUGGUUCCAGGACUCAGGGGCCACAUGCCCUGGGCACCGCAGGUGUGUGCAGAGGGUCCACGCCAGUGAGGAGGUGGGCAGCCUGGACCAGCUCCUGGAACUGCCCCGGAGGCCACCCUGGCUGCAGGAGGCCAGUGGCUGAGCACAGCCUCUUCCAACCUCUCUGAAGGGACAGAGGAGAGCUGGGCGUCAGGGACACGACCCUGCCCAGGGCCGUCCCCAUUGCUAUCCCUUAAUGCCGAGGGGAGCAGGUGGCCAGGAGUGCACGCCUUGCUUCACGGUGCAGGUUUCAGGGCUGGAACGGCCCCAGCUGCUGGCCUGGGGUCCUGGGUCUCUGUCAUGGUGGUGUCUCUUCCCUGUCCCAGGUCCCCACAGGACCCUCAAGUCGGCCCUUCGUCUUCUAGCCACCUGGAGAGCCCAGCCUCCCUGGCUGCCUCUCCUAGAGAAUGGGGUGCAGGCUGUGGGUGCGGCCCACUGUGUCCUGGGCGUGACGUGGGGGUCUUCCCCACCAGGCCUCAGAGGCCCGGUUAGCCUGGGACUCCUGGCGGAGGAGAGGACAGGCUGGGGCUCUAAGUGGGCGAGGUGGUCAGCCAGGCCUGGGAUGGGCUAUCUCCCCGGGUGGGCCAUGGAGCCACAGAACAGGACGCAGGCUGGCUGGCGGGCUGGAGGCAGAGUGGUGGGGAGUCCCCUGGGAGGCCAGGAGGAGUGAAGUGCUCACAGAGAGUCCGGCCACAAGGAGGGAGGGCAGGGACAGGGAGGGCCCACGGGCCACGUGCUCAUUUCCACUUCUUAGCAGAGCUCUGAUCCCCUUUCCCGACUGGAUUCCCUGCUGCAGGGAGCACGGAGCCAGCCAUUGUCAGGGCCUGGUGCAGAAAGCUGCAGCGGGCCACACCUGUCUCCCGAGGGCUGGUACUUCCCGGGUCAGCUGGCCACGGUAGUCCUGGACAGCCCGGCCUCUGGGCAGUUAUGGACGCCCUUGGUAGCCUGUGAAGGGCCUUUCUGACACAGAGGGGCAGGUGUGGACCUUGGGAGCUCUAUGUCCUGGUCUGGGGACAGACGGCCAGCCAGUUAGCUUCAGCCCCCUGGGAUGGCAUCUCUGGGCCUCUCUUGGGCCGGUGGGCCCCAGCCCUGAGCUCCAGGCACUCUGCCUCUUCCCACCUCCAGCUCCUGAAGAGGCCACCCUGGGCAGGCCUCUGGCGUUCCCUGGUUUCAGUGCCCAGGUGCCCGUGGUGCUGCAGAGAGCCCCUGCUCCCAUUCCCAGCUCCCGUGCCACCCGUGGAGGGCAGCAGUGGGUCGGGCCUCAGGGGUCCCAGGCCUGGUUUUGGGUGGCUGCCUCUGCAGGAGGCCACCUGUCUCUCCCACGAGGCGAGGCCUGAGUCCUGAGCCGGGAGGACGCCCCGCUGAGCAGGGGGUGAGCGGGGCCUGGUGCCGAGACAGCCACCGUGGUCGGUGGACACCGCUUGUCCCAGAAUGGAGAGGAAGCAGGCCAUUCCCUGAGUCCUGAAAAAGGGCAGGCACCUGUCCCCUCUGAGUCUGCAGUGUCACCAGCCCAGGGGAGAAGCUUCCAGGAAGCAGGAAGGUGACAGUCAGCCUGAGAACAGAUUGAGGUGUGACGGGUGACAGCCAGAGAUGGCCCAGGAGGUGGGUCAAGACGCCCUGGUCAGCCACGUCCACAGACACCACGGCUGGAAUAAGACACCGUGGUCAGUGACCCUCCCCACAGAGAGAAGGGAAGGAUGGCUGAGGGUGACAUGGACGAGAGCAGCACCGUGAGCUUCCUCCCAGAAAGGACAGCAGGAGUCCCGCUGAACCGAGCUUCAGCCCGGGGGGCCUCCGUGUGACCAGAGGUCCAGAGGUGGCCUCUCGUAUUGGUUAGCUCUUGCUGCGUAACAAACCCUCCCCACACUGGACUCGAACAGCCGGUUCUGAUAUUGCUCCUGAGCUUGUGAGCGGACGGGGCAGUUUGCCACUGGCCAGCUGCCCAGUAGGGACCAGUGGAUGAGCUGGGCCUCUUCUUUCCCAAACUGAUGUAGGAUGAGCUGGGCCUCAUGGUGGCUGUUGGUGUUGGUGGCCGGUUGGUCCUGGAGCUCAGAGGGGCACGGGGGUGAGUAAGCUGUGCGUGUCUCACCCUCCAGCAGGCCGGCCCAAGAGCACCAGGCAGGCCCGGCCCUGCUCGCGGGUGUGCUCCAGCCUCUGCAUUUGCUACCAGCCUUGGCCAAAGCAAGCACAUGGCUCAGGGUCUAGGGGAGUGGAAAAGCAGACUCAGUCCCUUGAGUGGGAGGACUCUAGAUCCAUGAUGCAGCGAUGGGAAGAGUGGCAGCCAUUUCCGAGACCUGCCACAUGGGCUUCAGGCUGGGUUGGACCCAGGAGCUGCUCCCCUCUUGACUCUGCUUCUUUCUUUGUCAGAUCCACUUGCAGCCAAGGCAGAGUGAGCGGUCACCAGGGACUCUGGCCUCCUUCAGGUCCAGUGGGAUGAAAUUCCCUCUCUUCCCCAUGGUUCUGAAGGAAGCCCCCAGAUCGCCCCUCCUUGACUGGUUGGACAGUGUGCCCAUCUCUGGGCAGACUCUGCCCUGGAGGCUCGUGAUGCCGUAAUGGCCUCCUCAGGGCACAGAGGGGGGAGUGGGCUCCACACGCCUCGUGGACAGAGCAGGAGCAGGAGCGGUGGCCUUGGAAGCCAGGUGCCACACAGGAAGCUGAGGACGCUGGGUAGACAGGGAACCCGGCCGGCAGGCCAGGGCCUUCUGUUUACGCCCUCUUUUUUUUUUUUUUUGUACUGGGAAUCGAACCCAGAGGUGCUUAACCCCCGGGCCACACGCCAGCCCUUUCUUAUAUUUUACUUAGAGACAGGGUCUCGCUGAGUUGCUCAGGGCCUUGCUGAGUUGCUGAGGCUGGCUUUGAACUUGCGAUCCUCCUACUUCAGCCUCCUGAGCUGCUGGGAUCACAGGCGUGGGCCACCACCCCGGCCCGUUUGCUCCCUCUUGGGAACACCUGCUCGCCGCCAGCCCCGCCUCUCGGGCUCUUUGCCUUCUCACCACGAAGUCCUGGGAGUUCUAGAAGGGGCCGCGUCGCAGUUUGCGGUCGGGUGGGCUUUGUGAAUGUCCCCUCCCAGCCUGGCUUUCCUCCAUUUCUUACGGGGACUUUUCAUCCGGUAAGCAGUUUUGGUGUGGACGAAUCUAACCGGACUUCUAGUCUGUUUUUUAGGUCUUGUCUGAGGCGCUUUCUGCCUGGGUCUCCUUGGAGAAGAUCGUGGGUCUUCCUUGCUCAUCUUGAAUCGAUCUUUGUGGACGGCAUGAGAUGAAGUUCGAGUUCCAUUUCUUCCAAACAGACGCCCGGUGCUUCCUGGGCCUCGCCACUGUGUCCUGCGGCUACAUGAGAGUCACACCGGAGCCUGGCAGCUGGGAGACACUGACUUGUCCUCCGUCCACAGCGCUGCGUUUGACCGUACUCAUGCCCCACUGUGGGGUACCAAGAGGGGGAGCAGGACGGUUCCAGAACCACAGCUGCUCUACAGCUUGGGUGCUCCUGAGUUGCUCUUCUGACCUCGCUGGCUCCCGGAAGCUGGGAUUUAGCCAAGGCUAAAGGUGGCAGAGCUGACCCUGGCCAGAGAGGGCCGUCCGCCGGAUCUGCAGGUCGAGGGAAGGAGAAGCCGCCUUUUCCUGUUCUUUCCGCCCUGAUGUUGAAGAGCAGCAUCAGGGUGGAGCGUGGCUCUGGCCUUGCACACCGUGUGCCGAGGAGGACACCAGUCCUCCUCCCUGUCCUCCUCCCGUCCUCCUCCCUGUCCUCCUCCCUGUCCUCCUCGUCAGACACUGAUCAGACGUGGGGUCGGUGAGGAGCUGAGACCGAGGUGGGGGCACUCUGGGCACAGCAGAGGAGGAGCGGGGAGGCAGGGGAGGAGCCUCCAUGGCCAGGGGACCUAGGAUGACCGUGGGCAGGGACGGGAUGGCCACCAAAGCAGGCAGAGCUACGUGGCAAAGGCCGAGAUGGAAGGGCGCGUGGCGAGGAGGCAGCCGUGGCUGUAGAACCGUGAGGCUCCUGAAGACACACGGGCCAGCGCCAAGCUCGGCCUCUGGACUUAAAGUUUCCCGGAGUGAAACGCAGCAGGGCAGGGGUGAGGUGGACGGAGAACUGCUGCUGCAGAGUCCCCGCCCUCUAUGGGGACCCCCCACCAGAGACGCCCCCUGCCCGGUCCACAGCCGGGUUCUCAUCCGAAAAUGCCCAGAGCCAGACACGCAGGAGCCCGAGGAGAGCCAAGCCAAGGGAGAAGAGCCAGGCUCUCUGGGUGGCGCCACCCUGGUGGGGUGCGGGAGGCUGGGCAGGAGUGGCCUCCGGAAGGUUCAAUGAGAAAACGAGUCAGCUUUUGUGAAAGAGAGCCGGCUGUCAAUCCCCAGGGACAGUAGUAUAAGGUGGCUGUCAAUCCCCGGGGACAGUAGUUUUAGGAAAGGGAAACCCUUGGUCACACUUGCCCCUGAAGUUCCCCAAUACAAACCCUGAACAGAGGGUGGUGCGCUGUGCUUGGGGUGCCCCUGCUCUGAGGGCUGGAGGAGAUGCUGGUCUAAUGAGAGGUGGAGACUGAGCACCGAGGAUGUCACCUGAAACCCACGACCCGAGAGAUCGCAAUAGAAGCCAUGUGUCCCUUCAGAAGACAGACGGGGUCAACACUCAGGGACUGGGAAGGACUGAAGAGCUGGAAUGGGGGUGGGGGGGUGCCUGCGGUUCAGCCUGGCGGGUCCCUGGCGCUACGCGGCACGGGCAGACACACACCUGGGCCAGUCCUGCCUCGAAAGGAGACCAGGGCCAGCCUGUCCCCACAGGGGAGUGUGACGAGUGGACUGGGUGAGGCACGUGCAGGACCAUCUCUGGAGGGCUCUCAUGGCCUCAGCAUCCGGGGAACAUGCCACUGUAAAGUCCCCAUUUUUCCUUUCAGCUUUCAAAGGAAACCAGCAGUUGCAUGGGCCAGGGGCUGCUGGACGUCUGGGCUCCUGCCUUGGUCCGAUGGUGGUGGCCCAGCUGCCCAGCCCCCAGCCACCCUUGCUACCUGGCUGCCUUGGGAGCUGGGCGGCGGCAGGUGGAGGGGGGCGGUGGGUAGUGGGGGCUGUACUGAGGGCCCCCUGAAGCUCCCCCCAGGAGGAGCAGGCCGCACAGGGCCUCCUUUGGCACCUGGCUCUGGCCUGAGCUCCCUCCUGCUCAGGAGAGAGAAGCCGUGAGACCCCUUGGCCUCCCGUGGCCUCUCCUCUGUGUUCUCAGGGCCAGCUCCUGCCCGGUCCUCCGGGGCUCCCCGCUCCUGAGAGCACAAGGCCGGGACAUAUCUGGGUGACUGGCCUUGUUCCCGCUCAGCGCCACAGUCUGGUAAAGAACAGUGAUGUCCCUGGGCCAGCGGGAUUGCUGGGAGCUGCGGGGGAGGGGGACCAGGGACCUGGAGCCUCCAGGAGGUGAACAAGGUGGGCCACAGCCUGGGCUGGUGGCUGCACUCUGGGCACGGUCCUCAGAACUGUGCCGAGACCCGGGUACCCGCAGCAGGUGUGCACCGGGGCCGCUGCGCUGGCCAGUACCUCUUGAUCUUGCAGCGAUGGGACAGCGUCAUUUCCCUCUUGCUCCAGCUUCACUGGGAGGACCAGGCCACUGGGCUCAGAGCUCCUGGGGAGGAGGACGGGAGGAGGCGCUGGGUCUGAUUCCCCUUAGGACCUUACCCCUGUGAGGUGGGCACCCGCUCCCCGGCACAGCAGCAGUUUAGGAGACGGGAAGGACUGGGCCUUCAGUGCCCAGCGCCUGCCACAGUGUCCUCCUCACUGCCUGUCACCUUUGGCUGGCCGCCUCUCACAUUUUCUCUUGUCACACCCUCAGUGUGACAGUGGAUUCUCAGAAGCAGACACACAGGCACAGUCACACCUGCCAAGCCCAGCACCUUGCAGGCUGUGGCCCAGCCGGGACUUUGGAGCCCAGGUCACAGGCAGUUCCCGCUGUGCUCCUGAUAGCUGCAAGACCCUGGCGGCCAGCUCUGCACCA